rnacentral:lncRNA from 1 species
UCCGCGUCUCUGCAGGCCAGCUUGGAGACCGCAGGGAAAGGAGAGGAGUUUUUUCACCAUUCUUUGGAGGGGAAAAAGACCUAUGCAAGGAAGAGAGCUGCCCUGCUGUAAGACCACAGGAACAAUGGUUGACAACCAACCUAUCUUCCAACCAGGCUUCCAGCCUGCAAAUAAAUGAAGUGCCAGCAAUAGCUUCACUCUCCAGAAUUAGAACCAUGCUGCAAACUGCUCUUAAGCUCCUAAACCCGAAUAACAGGGGUGGGGGAUGGAGUGGGGGGGGGGGCACAGCAAGGCAGAGGAAAUCUUCGGAAAAACAUGCUGCCGUGAAACAUUCUUACACAGCACCAGUAAAACUCACUCAGAGGAUAACUAACACACACACCGGAUAAAUUGCCAAAGCGACAGAUUUGGAACCCAGAAUGUCAUGGCUUCUAGAAGAACACAAGGAAAAAAAAUGUUUUACAAUAGAAAAAGUUUCCAACUGGCGCUUGGGGUAAACCACAGUCUGUAGAAAUCCAGGAGUAAAUUUGGUGAGAGGUCAGAUAAAACAGGGAAGGCAAGCAAGGAGGCGGGGAUGGUAAGGGGAGGAGAAUACUGUGUGACACCCAGGAGGCAGCCAGAGAGCCAGGAUGCACCAGGGAGACUGGAUCGUUGAAAUGAAGAAGAAAGGGAGGCAGGUUUGUGAAAGCUAAAAAAACAAAAACAAAAACAAAAAACGGCACCAGAACAAGAAAGACUUCACUCAGAAGAGGCACUGUGGGUAGACAGAAAUGCUAUGUGUUGGAGAGGACGUGGCCCCUCCCACCCAAGGCUCAUUCUUGUGGGGAAGGCAUUGGUACCUAAGGCAGUGUUCAGGGCUAAGGUUCUGGGAAAUGGGAACAGAUCCAUGAGGACACUGACGUAAUCAAUGGGAUGAGCUACUGAAGGGACCAGUAGUGAGUGGUAACAAUCCUGGAAGGUGGGAGCUGAUUGGAGGAGAGAAAGGUGGGAGCUGAUUGGAGGAGAGGCAGGUCUAAGAAAGGUCAUUAAGACCUUUGAAGGGUGUGACCUCUCCUUGGCCUUUCCUCACUCUGUCUCUCUCUGUCCCCAACCAGCAGCUUCUUCUCUCCAAUCCCCUGUCACCCUGAUGCUCGGUCUCACUGCAGGCCCAUUGCAAUAAAAC